GCGCUGUUAGUGUAGUGGUAACACACAACCUGCAUCUUAUGAAGAGCGAGCGAAAUAUACAGGUUGGGUCUUGGGUUCGAAUCCCGGAUGGCGCA